rnacentral:rRNA from 1 species
GAUGAACGCUGGCGGCGUGCCUAACACAUGCAAGUCGAGCGUGAACCCUGCGAAUGAAACUUCGGUCGAUUUUGCAGGGGGAAAGCGGCGGACGGGUGAGUAACGCGUAGGUAACCUGCCCCAUACUGAGGGAUAGCCUCGGGAAACCGGGAUUAAUACCUCAUAACACCGUAUAUUCGCAUGGAUGUGCGGUCAAAGAUUUAUCGGUAUGGGAUGGGCCUGCGUCUGAUUAGCUGGUUGGUGGGGUAACGGCCUACCAAGGCGACGAUCAGUAGCCGACCUGAGAGGGUGAUCGGCCACAUUGGAACUGAGACACGGUCCAAACUCCUACGGGAGGCAGCAGUGGGGAAUAUUGCACAAUGGGCGAAAGCCUGAUGCAGCAACGCCGCGUGAGCGAAGAAGGCCUUUGGGUCGUAAAGCUCUGUCGGGUAGGAAGAUAAUGACGGUACUACCCGAGGAAGCCCCGGCUAACUACGUGCCAGCAGCCGCGGUAAUCAUA